AAGGGCGAGUCCCGCUCUCGCGAGAUUUGGCGGGCGGAGGGGAAGGGCCGCGCCCUGGGAGCAUGGCGGGUGAGGGGAGGGCAGGGCCCCGGGGGUCUGCGGCUCCUUCAGCUGCCCUCGGGCUCCCUCAUCGCCCCCCAGCGUGGGGAGCCUCGGGGCGCAGGGUUCUGGCUGGAUAUGGCCGCCGUGGUGGUGCCAGGCGGCCGCUUGUGGCACCCAGCGCCCUCAGGAAGAGCCCGGCGGUGAUGAGGGGUUCAUUACUGUCACCUCGAAGGGAAGGCACCAAAAGCUCUCAAAAGCCCUAAAACUCCAGCUGCACCCUUUGAAAAUGGAAACAACCGCACGGUGCCCCUCCUCUGCCGUGGCCACAUCACGGGGGCGAGGGAGGAGUCACACAAGGCCCUUUGAUGUUAUCAGGGAUGGGUUUCAAACAGCUCCAGUCGUGUGGAACAAAAUCUGGAGCCAUCCUUGCCCAUGGAAAGGCCUCAUUCCUCCAAGAACACGGUGACCCAAAGGUGAGAACCCCCCGUGCUCCACUCUGCCUCAGAAAUGACACCCCAAAAUGACCUCACCAAAAAUAACCUCCAGCCUGCCUUCCUUGUGAUUUUUAACCCAAAAUCUCUGUGUUUGCCUUCUUCCAUGGGCAUGAAGAGCUGCUGUUUUCAGUCUCUUUGUUUGCUGUUACUGAGGAAAUGCUGCUGCUGGUGUUGGGGUUGUUUUUUUCCAGCUCAGAGUGACUUCACAAACUUCCAUUUUGAAAAGGACUUGUAAAAAUGGCACCAAACUUUAUUUUCUUGCUUCUCACUGAGGCUGUACCAGGACUGGCUGCAGUGUUCUGGUAUUCUCUGAAGAGAACGUGUGCCUGUGUUUGGAGGAAAUCCUGGGAACCUUUACAUCUCCAUCUCCUUCACUGUCCCACAGCAAAGGAACAAAAAGAGAGGCAACCCUGCAGGAAGGACAGCUGGAAUACAUGGCUGAGACACAACCUCCCUCUGGAUGGAGCUGGUUUAGGGCCUUCCAGCCCCUUCAGCUUCCUUGGCUAAGCUCCCACAUGGUCAGUUAACAAGGAUGGAGGUGUUUCUCCUCCCUACUCCCUGCAAAGUUGGAAACUUGGGAUUUGUUUUGCAGGCUUGGAGGCAAGAGUGGUGCUUGGUUUAUUUUAUCAUCGCUGGUUGUGAUCUGUGUCCUUGUUCCACUGCAGUGUCAUGAGAUAAUUAAUACUAAAACACCCCUGCUUGUUAGUUUACACAUUUCUGAUGCCUUUAAAAUCAGUAAAAAGGGCUGAUGACAUUGCACAGGGGAAAACAGAAUUUAAUACAUUCUUCUUGCAUCAGGAAUUAUUUGGCAAAGCUGAUGGUGCACAGGGGACCAGACUCCAAGAAGAAAACCAAGCCUUGCUGAAAUCUGAAAGCACAGAUUGCACCCUGGAUGAAUGUGGGCAGGAGCUGGAUGAAUAAAGAGUUUCAGCAGCAAGGUUCUGAUGUGCAUUUGAGCAUUAUAGAAGCUGUGGCUGCCCCAUCCCUGGAAGUGUCCAAGGCCAGGCUGGAGCAACCUGGGAUAGUUGAAGGUGUCCCUGCCCAUGGCAAUGAGAUGAUAUUUGAGAUCCCCUCAAACCAUUCUGUGAUUUCUGCUGGUGAUCUUCUGACUCUGCAUCUUCUCUUGACUCCUCAUGUGGUCCUUCUCACAUUAGUUUUCUUUUUAAUCCAACUGUGCUGUCUUGAACUUCAGCUUUUCAGGGCUAACAUGGGGUUUGCCCUAUGACAGAUCACUUUACAAGUCCAAGUGGACAGGCAUUUAGAAUUAGAGUCCAAACAAAGUCAAACCAGGCUGAAAUAAACUGCAUUUUGGUCUAGCACAAGAUUAGCCCUUAAAUAAAUAGUGAGGAGCUGGGGCAGUCUGUACAGCAGAUGGCAUUACAGGUAAUAUUUAUCACACUCCAGUCUCAGGGCUCAGAUACUUGGGAGGGAGGAUUGACGUCAGCUACCACUGAAUCAGUUUUAAAACAAGCUGGAAACCUGCUUGUGCCUUCAGCAGUUGAUUACUUUGUGCAGCACUUCUGCUUUGCACUCCCCAGUGCAUUUAUUGGUCUGGACAAGCCUAGCAGGAAGAGUUCAUUCUGUUUUUUGCAGCUUAAGUGAGCUGAUGUAAAUAGAUCUUGGACUUUGAGGUGGGAAGAUUCCACCCAGCUGCAGUAACCAGGGGGAUGCCCUUUGGUCCAGUUUUUAUGCCAAAUUUGUGCAUUGGGGAAUUUUAAACAAAUAUCACUUGGCAGGAUAUUGACUCUCAGGGUACAAGAAUAACACUGAGGAAGGCAGCAGGGCAUGGGCUGGGAGGGAUUUACAGGGAGAACUCUCCAGACUGGCCCUGAGCAGUGGAGAAAACCAGUUCUGAAGUAUUUUAUUAAAAAUAGUUG